rnacentral:rRNA from 1 species
AUACGGAGGGUGCGAGCGUUAAUCGGAAUUACUGGGCGUAAAGCGUGCGUAGGCGGUUUGUUAAGUCAGAAGUGAAAGCCCUGGGCUCAACCUGGGAACGGCUUUUGAGACUGGCAGACUUGAGUUGAGUAGAGGGGAGUGGAAUGUCCGGUGUAGCGGUGAAAUGCGUAGAGAUCGGAAGGAACACCAGUGGCGAAGGCGACUCCCUGGACUCAAACUGACGCUGAGGUACGAAAGCGUGGGUAGCAAACAGGAUUAGAAACCCUAGUAGUCC